UCUUCCCUCUUUCUUCGUGCCUAAUACAUGCCAGUCGAGCGAACAGACGAGGAGCUUGCUCCUCUGACGUUAGCGGCGGACGGGUGAGUAACACGUGGAUAACCUACCUAUAAGACUGGGAUAACUUCGGGAAACCGGAGCUAAUACCGGAUAAUAUAUUGAACCGCAUGGUUCAAUAGUGAAAGACGGUUUUGCUGUCACUUAUAGAUGGAUCCGCGCCGCAUUAGCUAGUUGGUAAGGUAACGGCUUACCAAGGCAACGAUGCGUAGCCGACCUGAGAGGGUGAUCGGCCACACUGGAACUGAGACACGGUCCAGACUCCUACGGGAGGCAGCAGUAGGGAAUCUUCCGCAAUGGGCGAAAGCCUGACGGAGCAACGCCGCGUGAGUGAUGAAGGUCUUCGGAUCGUAAAACUCUGUUAUUAGGGAAGAACAAAUGUGUAAGUAACUAUGCACGUCUUGACGGUACCUAAUCAGAAAGCCACGGCUAACUACGUG
rnacentral:rRNA from 1 species